UGUUGAUUAGUUUAAGUAAAAUAUAAGUUUUGUAAGCUUAAGAUCUAAAUAAAGUAAAAU
rnacentral:tRNA from 1 species